rnacentral:rRNA from 1 species
GAUGAACGCUGGCGGCGUGCCUAAUACAUGCAAGUCGAGCGAAUGGAUUAAGAGCUUGCUCUUAUGAAGUUAGCGGCGGACGGGUGAGUAACACGUGGGUAACCUGCCCAUAAGACUGGGAUAACUCCGGGAAACCGGGGCUAAUACCGGAUAAUAUUUUGAACUGCAUGGUUCAAAAUUGAAGGGCGGCUUCGGCUGUCACUUAUGGAUGGACCCGCGUCGCAUUAGCUAGUUGGUGAGGUAACGGCGCACCAAGGCACCGCUGCGGAGCCGACCUGGGAGGGUGAUCGGCCGCACUGGGACUGAGACACGGCCCAGACUCCUACGGGAGGCAGCAGUAGGGAAUCUUCCGGAAUGGACGAAAGUCUGACGGAGCAACGCCGCGUGAGUGAUGAAGGCUUUCGGGUCGUAAAACUCUGUUGUUAGGGAAGAACAAGUGCUAGUUGAAUAAGCUGGCACCUUGACGGUACCUAACCAGAAAGCCACGGCUAACUACGUGCCAGCCGCCGCAGUAA